rnacentral:rRNA from 1 species
CCUACGGGAGGCAGCAGUGGGGAAUAUUGCACAAUGGGGGAAACCCUGAUGCAGCGACGCCGCGUGAGUGAAGAAGUAUUUCGGUAUGUAAAGCUCUAUCAGCAGGAACGAGACAAGACGGUACCUGACUAAGAAGCCCCGGCUAACUACGUGCCAGCAGCCGCGGUAAUACGUAGGGGGCAAGCGUUAUCCGGAAUCACUGGGUGUAAAGGGAGCGUAGACGGCUGAGCAAGCCUGAAGUGAAAGGCGGGGGCCCAACCCCUGGACUGCUUUGGGAACUGUACGGCUGGAGUGCAGGAGAGGUAAGUGGAAUUCCUAGUGUAGCGGUGAAAUGCAUAGAUAUCACGCAGAACUCCGAUUGCGAAGGCAGCAUACCGGCGCCCGACUGACGCUGAGGCACGAAAGCGUGGGGAUCGAACAGGAUUAGAUACCCCAGUAGUC